AUACCAGCUGGCUGCAACUGUUUAUUAAAAACACAGCACUGUGCAAACACGAAAGUGGACGUAUACGGUGUGACGCCUGCCCGGUGCCGGAAGGUUAAUUGAUGGGGUUAUCCGUAAGGAGAAGCUCUUGAUCGAAGCCCCGGUAAACGGCGGCCGUAACUAUAACGGUCCUAAGGUAGCGAAAUUCCUUGUCGGGUAAGUUCCGACCUGCACGAAUGGCGUAAUGAUGGCCAGGCUGUCUCCACCCGAGACUCAGUGAAAUUGAACUCGCUGUGAAGAUGCAGUGUACCCGCGGCAAGACGGAAAGACCCCGUGAACCUUUACUAUAGCUUGACACUGAACACUGGUCCUUGAUGUGUAGGAUAGGUGGGAGGCUUUGAAGUGUGGACGCCAGUCUGCAUGGAGCCAUCCUUGAAAUACCACCCUUUAAUGGCUGGUGUUCUAACGUGGGCCCCUGAUCGGGGUUGCGGACAGUGUCUGGUGGGUAGUUUGACUGGGGCGGUCUCCUCCUAAAGAGUAACGGAGGAGCACGAAGGUCAGCUAAUCCUGGUCGGACAUCAGGAGGUUAGUGCAAUGGCAUAAGCUGGCUUGACUGCGAGCGUGACGGCGCGAGCAGGUGCGAAAGCAGGUCAUAGUGAUCCGGUGGUUCUGAAUGGAAGGGCCAUCGCUCAACGGAUAAAAGGUACUCCGGGGAUAACAGGCUGAUACCGCCCAAGAGUUCAUAUCGACGGCGGUGUUUGGCACCUCGAUGUCGGCUCAUCACAUCCUGGGGCUGAAGUAGGUCCCAAGGGUAUGGCUGUUCGCCAUUUAAAGUGGUACGCGAGCUGGGUUUAGAACGUCGUGAGACAGUUCGGUCCCUAUCUGCCGUGGGCGCUGGAGAAUUGAGGGGGGCUGCUCCUAGUACGAGAGGACCGGAGUGGACGCAUCACUGGUGUUCGGGUUGUCAUGCCAAUGGCAUUGCCCGGUAGCUAAAUGCGGAAGAGAUAAGUGCUGAAAGCAUCUAAGCACGAAACUUGCC
rnacentral:rRNA from 1 species